UACGUAGGGUCCGAGCGUUGUCCGGAAUUAUUGGGCGUAAAGGGCUCGUAGGCGGUUUGUCACGUCGGGAGUGAAAACUCCGGGCUCAACCCUGAGCGUGCUUCCGAUACGGGCAGACUAGAGGUAUGCAGGGGAGAGCGGAAUUCCUGGUGUAGCGGUGGAAUGCGCAGAUAUCAGGAGGAACACCGGUGGCGAAGGCGGUUCUCUGGGCAGUACCUGACGCUGAGGAGCGAAAGCAUGGGGAGCGAACAGG
rnacentral:rRNA from 1 species